rnacentral:rRNA from 1 species
AUUGAACGCUGGCGGCAGGCCUAACACAUGCAAGUCGAACGAGUGGCGGACGGGUGAGUAAUGUCUGGGAAACUGCCUGAUGGAGGGGGAUAACUACUGGAAACGGUAGCUAAUACCGCAUACCAUCGGAUGUGCCCAGAUGGGAUUCUCUUGUUGGUGGGGUAACGGCUCACCAAGGCGACGAUCCCUAGCUGGUCUGAGAGGAUGACCAGCCACACUGGAACUGAGACACGGUCCAGCUUCCUACGGGAGGCAGCAGUGGGGAAUAUUGCACAAUGGGCGCCAGCCGUAUGCCGCCAUGCCGCGUGUGGGAAGAAGGCCUUCGGGUUGUAAAGCACUUUCAGCGGGGAGGCGUUACCCGCAGAAGAAGCACCGGCUAACUCCGUGCCAGCAGCCGCGGUAAUAC